UUCCAUCGCUCAGUCAAGGCUCCUUUUUGCAACAUCCUGCAAUUUCCAAUGAAAGAGCGCCUGUUACAGCUUUGGUACAUUGACCUGUGCUUGCCGCUUUUGCCUGGUGUAAAUGUGGUUCUGGAUCUACCUGCCGUCUUGGAAAGUCUGUCCUCAAAGCCAUGGGUGUCUCGUUUGAGUUGAGAUUGCUUUCGCUUGUUUGCGUUCCUGCAUAGCACCUCUCUUAGUAACGUUCCACACAAUU
rnacentral:snoRNA from 1 species